rnacentral:rRNA from 1 species
UACAGAGGGGGCAAGCGUUAUUCGGAAUUAUUGGGCGUAAAGGGCGCGUAGGCGGCAUCGCAAGUGGAAGGUGAAAUCCCUCGGCUUAACCGAGGAACUGCCCUCCAAACUGCGUUGCUUGAGGCCGGAGAGGUGAGUGGAAUUCCCAGUGUAGCGGUGAAAUGACGUAGAUAUUGGGAGGAACACCGAUUGCGAAGGCAGCCCACUAAGCAAUGAUUGACGCUGAGGCACGAAAGCGUGGGGAUCAAACAGG